rnacentral:rRNA from 1 species
UUGUGACUGCGGAGGUCAUUACAGAGUUCAUGCCCGAAAGGGUAGACCUCCCACCCUUGUGUAUUAUUACUUUGUUGCUUUGGCGAGCUGCCUUCGGGCCUUGUAUGCUCGCCAGAGAAUACCAAAACUCUUUUUAUUAAUGUCGUCUGAGUACUAUAUAAUAGUUAAAACUUUCAACAACGGAUCUCUUGGUUCUGGCAUCGAUGAAGAACGCAGCGAAAUGCGAUAAGUAAUGUGAAUUGCAGAAUUCAGUGAAUCAUCGAAUCUUUGAACGCACAUUGCGCCCCUUGGUAUUCCGGGGGGCAUGCCUGUUCGAGCGUCAUUUCAACCCUCAAGCUUAGCUUGGUAUUGAGUCUAUGUCAGUAAUGGCAGGCUCUAAAAUCAGUGGCGGCGCCGCUGGGUCCUGAACGUAGUAAUAUCUCUCGUUACAGGUUCUCGGUGUGCUUCUGCCAAAACCCAAAUUUUUCUAUGGUUGACCUCGGAUCAGGUAGGGAUACCCGCUGAACUUAAGCAUAUCAAAAACCGGGAGGAA